rnacentral:rRNA from 1 species
GUGGGGAAUAUUGGGCAAUGGGGGAAACCCUGACCCAGCGACGCCGCGUGAGGGAAGAAGGCCUUAGGGUCGUAAACCUCUGUUGUGUGGGAAGAAGAGCGUGACGGUACCACACGAGGAAGUCCCGGCUAACUACGUGCCAGCAGCCGCGGUAAUACGUAGGGGACGAGCGUUGUCCGGAUUUACUGGGCGUAAAGGGCGCGUAGGCGGUCAUUUAAGUCAGCUGUGAAAUGGUUUGGCUUAACCGGAUCAUGCGGUUGAAACUGGAUGACUGGAGUGCUGGAGAGGCAAGUGGAAUUCCCAGUGUAGCGGUGAAAUGCGUAGAUAUUGGGAAGAACACCGGUGGCGAAGGCGACUUGCUGGCCAGCAACUGACGCUGAGGCGCGAAAGCCAGGGGAGCAAACGGGAUUAGAAACCCUUGUAGUCC